CCAGCCAUAUAGUAGAAAAUAAUUUUCAAAAAAUUUAAAAUAAACAAAUCAAUAGCUUUAUCAAAUAAAACUAUCAAGCCGAACCCAAAACCCUAGAAUCACUUUGCCAAUUACGAUCAAAGCAAAUUCAAGCAUGGAAAGAGAUAGAAAAUUAUACUUUAACCAAUAUAAAAAAGUGGCACAUUGAUGUUCUCCACAAGAUCCCAAGA
rnacentral:lncRNA from 1 species